GACGAAGGUGGCGAGCGUUGUUCGGAAUCACUGGGCAUAAAGCGCACGUAGGCGGCGACGUAAGUUGGGUGUGAAAUCCCUCGGCCCAACCGAGGAACUGCGCCCAGUACUGCGUUGCUUGAGGAUCCAAGGGGUGCAUGGAAUUCCCGGUGGAGCGGUGAAAUGCGUUGAUAUCAAGCAGAACACCUGCGGCGAAGGCGGCCUUCUGGACGAUGACUGACGCUGAGACGCGAAAGCGUGGGGAGCAAACAGG
rnacentral:rRNA from 1 species